CUAUUUCAAAACCUGUGAAUUGAAACCCAGAGAUUUGCAACUUUAUUGGAUAUAAAUGUGUAAUGAAAUGAAAGCUGUUGAAUAUGUCGUCUAUUAAUCCAUCUAAAAAUGCCACUUGCAUUAUUGUUUUGUUAUCGGCUCUAGUUUGUUCUAAUUCUUAAUUUUUGUUGCUAUUUCAAGUCAAAUUAAAUUCCAUCAUGUCACACCAUUGGACAUGGCAAGAUUUUGUGUGAAUAGAUUGUUAUUAUGUGUUCCUAAUGAUUUUACACGAAACGUUUCUUUUGGUUAAGUUUCAUUUUGAUGGAACACUCAGAGUUUAAGAGUUUUUUGUUGUUAUUUUGACGGUUUAUAUGGUGAAGAUAAAUACCAUUUUGAGUAUUAAAGAUAUGAUAUACUUGACCGAUUCCGAUAAUCUGAACCAUCUGCUUAUUGCAAUAUGUUUGGAAAACAAAACCAUCAUCGUUAAACGUCAAUAAAUUUAUGAGUAUCAUAUCGUUAAUUAAACAAAAUUGAUUGCGGAACAUAUUGAAACUAUCUCGUUUCCCAGAAAUGAUAUGAUUAGAUAGCUAGACUAUCAAGCUUAUCAGGUAUAAUAUUUACAAUGAACAACAAAUAAAGGAAACUGAUUGAUGUUUUGAAUGAGGACUCCAUAAUGACCUUAAACCAAUCAAUUGGACCAGAUCAGAGUAAAAAAUAAACCCAUUGUUUUGCAAGUAAUGAAACAAUUGAGAAUGAAAAUAAUCAAAGGAUCUUUAUUGUUCAAGUCUUUGGCUAUAAUACAACUUCAGUUAUCGCAUAUAAACUUGAAGUUGCAGCUCAUAUGAAUUAAACUUUUGAUUAUUCAAAAUAGACAUAUGGAUUGAUGAAGGCGCCAUGAUUUUAAGUGUAAAUUUAAUUAAAUGAGACGGUAAAAUAUGAUUAUAAAACAGAUAAAAUACGAUAAACUCAGGAAUGGUGGUUUUGUUGAUGAAGCUGGAGCGAUGAUUCAGCCAAAAAUAAAAAUGGGAACUAGGUGAUGUUUCAAGGUAAAAUGUAACUUUAUGGACAAAUCUGGUGUUGAUGGAAUCAUGUUUUGUUGAAUUUUCAUUUUUGAAAAAAUAUUUGAAUUGAUUCUUAGCUUUAGAUUCUGGUUUUAACCCAAACUUUGCCCAUAAAAUUAGAUUACCUUUUGUUUGUUGAAGGCAUUUUAGGUUUUCAGGCUCAUCUCACUACCAAUGUUAAUUGUUGAUCAUCACUAAUCACCACAUUGUCCACAGGUUAAACAAUUACAUGUACAACAGGCAAUAUCAUAGAGACACCUGAGGAC